rnacentral:sRNA from 2 species
CAACAACUGAUGACUUAUAUAUAGCAUUCGUUAUCUCUAGUUAACUAGAUUGCUAUAACUUCUUCUCGUUAGAUAUUCAUUUGUAGCUUGAUUACUUACUUAUUGAACAAUAGUUACAAACCAAAAAUGACAUGGUAUAUUCCAACGAAUUUGGUAAUUUUGGUAUACAUAUAUCUUAACAGGAAAUGAAAUCAGCUUUACAUUUAGAAAUACAUGUAAACUAUCUUAUCAGAUUAUAUCUUAAAAAGUCCCAUAUCAUGCUGUAUUCUAUCAUAUUAUCUUCAAAACCGGCAGAGUCCGUGACAAG